rnacentral:sRNA from 1 species
GCCAGGUGUGGUGGUGCACACCUGUAAUCCCAGCUACUUGGGAGGCUGAGACAGGAGAAUUGCUUGAACCCGGGAGGUGGAGGUUGCAGUGAGCCAAGAGUGCACCAUUGCACUCCAGUCUGGGUGACAGAGCAAGACUCUGUCUCAA